GUUUGGUAAAGGUGUGUGAAACAGGUGUGUCAGGUAGAGUUGUGUGAUACAGGUGUGUGGUAGAGGAGUGUGAUACAGGUGUGAGGUAGAGAUGUGUGAUACAGGUGUGUGAUAGAGUUGUGUGAUACAGGUGUGUGGUAGAGAAGUGUGAUACAGGUGUGUGGUAGGGGUGUGUGAUACAGGUGUGUGGUACAGGUGUGUGAUACAGGUGUGUGGUAGAGGUGUGUGAUACAGGUGCGUGUGUGGUAGAGGUGUGUGAUACAGGAGUGUGGUAGAGGUGUGUGAUACAGGUGUGUGGUAGAGGUGUGUGAUAGAGGAGUGUGAUACAGGUGUGUGGUAGAGGUGGUUGAUACAGGUGUGUGUGAUAGAGGUGUGUGAUACAGGUGUGUGAUAGAGGUGUUUGAUACAGGUGUGUGGUAGAGUUGUGUGAUACAGGUGUGUGAUACAGGUGUGUGUGUGUGAUACAGGAGCGUGGUACAGGUGUGUGAUAGAGGUGUGUGAUACAGGUGUGUGGUAGAGGUGUUUGGUAGAGGUGUGUGGUAGAGGUGUUUGAUACAGGUGUGAGGUAGAGGUG
ensembl:lncRNA